GGCGAGAAGCUCGCGGUGGAGUGGCUAGGCCGCGAGGUCAGGGAAGGAAAUCGCCCAACCUCCAUCCGGCCAUGGUAUUGAGUGCCUCACCUGCGACCAACCAAAGUAGUAGGAAAACACAUCAGCCAUGGAGAUCCAUCCAUCGAUUUAGGGGUGGGAUUGGGAAUCGGAGAGGCGGUACCGUCCGGGGUUAGCGCCAUGGACCACGCGGAAAAGGAAGGGGAGGCCAACCUUGGCGCAGAACAACGCGGAGAAGGAGCCGACCUCGGGCGCUGCUUGGCGGAUCCGGAAGCAGCGCCGCAAAUCGGGAAGCGCCUCGGCCUGCUCGUUCUGGGGGGCGCCUAGUUUAAGGAGAGAAGGUGAGAGCGGGGGAUGGGGGAGAGGUGGGGCCGGUGGCGGUUAGGGAGAGGGGCACCGAGGUUGCCGGUGGUGGCGGCGGA
rnacentral:lncRNA from 1 species